UGGGGAAUAUUGGACAAUGGGCGAAAGCCUGAUCCAGCAAUGCCGCGUGUGUGAUGAAGGCCUUCGGGUUGUAAAGCACUUUCGCACGCGACGAUGAUGACGGUAGCGUGAGAAGAAGCCCCGGCUAACUUCGUGCCAGCAGCCGCGGUAAUACGAAGGGGGCUAGCGUUGUUCGGAAUUACUGGGCGUAAAGGGCGCGUAGGCGGCCUGCCAAGUCAGGCGUGAAAGCCCCGGGCUUAACCUGGGAAUUGCGUUUGAGACUGGCAAGCUUGAGUUCGGGAGAGGUGAGUGGAAUUCCCAGUGUAGAGGUGAAAUUCGUAGAUAUUGGGAAGAACACCGGUGGCGAAGGCGGCUCACUGGACCGACACUGACGCUGAGGCGCGAAAGCGUGGGGAGCAAACAGG
rnacentral:rRNA from 1 species